UUUUCCAAAUAUCAUGUUGCUGAAGGCAUAACCAAUGCUACAUUAAUUCUUGAAAUCAAUAGGCAAGUAGAGGAAAUCAUAUUUAUUCUUAUGAGUCUCGUCAAUGUUUGCUGUGAGUAGAAUCUUUUAAGUGUACUUGUUUGGGAUGUUUUUAAGUAUUGAAGUAGUCCUACUAUCUUCUCCGAGACUCAUUUUAUUCAUGCCACCUAUCUCUAUACAUAUAUAAAGCAGGGGAAUACAAAUCUGACGUAGCAUCUAUCAAAUGUCAGGCUUUGUAUUUAUCUCUUUUCUUAGAGCUUUCCCUUUUUUAACGAAGAAAAAAUAGUUUCCUGAUAAAAAUUAAAGUCCCGUCUUUUUUCUAAAUUCCAUCGGUUACACUCAUAUGUCAAAAAGCAAAAAACCCAACAGUCGCUUCUGCUUAAAUUCCUUCCAUAACAUCGCUCACUCUCCUCUCUUAAUUGCCAUACGUGUCUUUCUCUUCAAUCCUCUGUGUUUUAGUACUCUUCUUUUUUCUCAAUCGCCACAGAAGAGUUGUUUCUCUCAAUUCUCAAGGUAAAUCUCUUCUUUAUGAUUUUGGAACAUAGUUAUUCUCUUUCAUGUUUGGCUUGUUUUCUCUGCGUUAUACCUGCAACAUGAAUGUAUCUCUAUUUAUCUAUUUUUAAUUUUAAUAUUUAGAUUUUAUCUAUUUGUUAUUCAACUUCUGAAAUAUUUCGCUAAAUUUUUAAUCGUUGCUUAUCGCAAGUGCUUACCAAGUUUAUUCUGUGAAAAAAAUAAAAUUAACAGAGCAUGUUUAUGUUGAUGCCCAUGAAGUGCUCGACAAAAAAAGCCCUAUAGAGGUACAAUUCAAACGGCUGCAGGACAAACCACUCAACAAAUGCAGGUCAGUUAUUCUUUUACACCUUGUAUAGUUAAUAGUUGGGACAAAAAAGGAACAAACGACCUUGAAUAAUUGUGAUCAUUUAAUUAUACAGUGUCUUUAAAUGUUCAUUACAGUUUAGUCAUAUGGAGUUUCGACUAUUAGAUUUUCAACUUCCUGUUAGUUCAUAUAUUCCUUUUGAUUAUAAAAAAAUCUUGUAUAUUUCUAUUUCUAUAUUUGCCCUUCUCUCAUAUUAUUUUUCGCUCCACUCUUUCAUGCUUUGAUUUACGAGCGACUUAUGCAUUUAACAUACAAGCAACAUUUUAAUAAUCAGAAUACGACUUAUUUGCAGUAGCAUUGCAUUGCUUAGGAAAUUUGUUUUUUAAUUUUCUCAUAUUCUUGCCUUUUUAUCUAAGUAUUCUUUCUCUUAAUUAUCAUGUUGUUUCUGCCUUUUUGGGGUGUUUGACAUUUAAAUGAAGCAUAAAGUUAGCUUAUACUCUGAUCAGUUCUUAUACGGUUGAGGGAAAUAACGGAAAUAUCUAUCUAUCAGCUAUUGGAAAGGUUAAAACUAUUAAAAUAAAGGUGACAAUUAAAGUUGCAAAGCCAAUAGUUUCUCUUCACACCCCACUUUAACCUUAGAUUUCAAUCAACCCACCAUAAUUGCCCACCACAAUGCGGCAAUAUUAAUCUAACGGGGACAACCGUUGAUUUCUGAUGCUGUUAAAAUUGACAGAAUGAAGCUUGUGAAGAGAACACUCAAUGGCACGAUGAUAUAAAUUACAUGCACUUACACUUGCAAAAGAUGCAGUAUCAAUAUUUGGCAAAUUUGAAGCAGCAACUUGCUUUUCCUACUUUCAGUAUCAAUAUUUGGCAAAUCUGGAGAUUCCUUCUAAUCUUUUAUCAUACAGGAUUUGACCAUACUUGUCUUUCUCUUCAUCCUCUGUUUUUUAGUACUCUUCUUUUUUCCAAUUGCUACAGAGGAGUUGUUUCUCUCAAUUCUCAAGGUAAAUCUUUUUUUUGUCAUUCUCAAUGUAAAUCUUUUUUGUGUGAUUUUGGAACAUAGUUAUUCUCUUUCAUGUUUAGUUUGUUUUCUCAGCUUUCUGCCUGCAAGACUGAAGGUAUCUCUAUUGUUGUCUAUUCCCAAUUUUAAUAUUUAAGAUUUUGUCUUUUUGUUAUUCAACUUCUGGAAUAUUUCACAAAAUUUUUAUCUGUUGCUUUUCAUUAUUUUUGGGUAUUGGACUUUUUAGUUUCCAUUGUCUCCAACAUUCUUUUUCAACAUAUACUUGGUGGUGGUUGAUAAGUUUAUCAUUUGAUUAUUGGUAAUUGGUGUUUGGAUCUUUGAAAUUAGCCGUCAUGCUAUGUUGGAUUGUUCCUACUAUUUUUUUACAUUCUAUUUCGCGAAGAUUUGAUUUUUUGGUUUCUUUUUCACUUUGUUUUGUUGGAAAUUUAAAUUUACUGUGAACUUGGAGUUCUAAGAUGUCAGACACAAGCGUAAGGCCUUAAAGCCAGUCUCUGCAAUUCCGGGUACUGAAAUAGUAUAAAUUUUCUUAGUUUGUCACCAAUCAAGAUUUCAUUCUUAAUUGGUACAAAACAUUAAUGCUUCAGCUCCAAUUUUCAUGCCUUUUCUUUUUCCAUACAAGUUUGUGAAUAAUUUAGUUGUUGCGUAAUCAUUAUCACUAAUAAUUUAUUAUUCAAAUUCUCCAGCUGUCCCCCUUUAGCUAUCCUUGGAGCAUUUUCUGUUAGGUAUGCAUCUAACCUAUCGUAUAUAGUCUAUAUUUUGUUAACCUGCAGUAGAGUCAAUCUGAAGCAUUGAUUGAGUCCAUGGUAUAUUUUACUCCCUAUAUAGUUUGUUAAUCAGUCAUUUAUAGAAUAUUAUGUGAAAUUGAAGUCACUAUUUGUUAGUAUUAUGUGAAACUGAAGUCACAGUUAGUUUUCUACCUCGGGGCAACAGAGUUUUGUAGAAUUGAGUCGCCCGAAGAGAAAUAGAGAAUCAAAAGUAUAUACUUUUUCUCUGAGUUUGUUUUUAUUCUUAAGUUUAUUUUUUCC
rnacentral:lncRNA from 1 species